rnacentral:rRNA from 1 species
CGGCGGACGGGUGAGUAACGCGUAGGAACCUGCCCAGUAGUGGGGGAUAGCCCGGUGAAAACCGGAUUAAUACCGCAUACGCUCUACGGAGGAAAGGGGGCUUCGGCUCUCGCUAUUGGAUGGGCCUGCGUGAGAUUAGCUAGUUGGUGAGGUAAUGGCUCACCAAGGCGACGAUCUCUAGCUGGUCUGAGAGGAUGAUCA